UGUUGGAUUUUGCGAUGGAGAGUAGAAAGAAGGAUUGAAGUGGUAGCAGGUACGUUGUUGUCUCAGGCAGACACUGAUAUGGAACAACCAAAACACAAAUUUCUUCUGAUUCUAACGCUUCUUUUCUCAACCGUCACGGUUGAAUCUGAAUACCUUCGCCCUCUUCCUCGUAAAACCUUAACCAUCCCACGGUAUUCAGUUUCCAAGGCUCACUCCUCUUAUCCUCAACAGGUACACAUUUCUUUGGCGGGAGAGAAACACAUUAGAAUUACCUGGAUAACCGAUGAUAAACAUUCACCCUCGUAUGUAGAAUACGGAACAUUACCUGGGAGAUAUGACUCAAUUGCUGAAGGAGAGGUCACCUCUUAUAACUAUAUGUUAUAUACCUCAGGAACGAUACACCAUGUUGUAAUUGGACCUUUGGAAGACAAUACUGUGUACUUUUACCGUUGUGGGGGAAAAGGUCCUGAUUUCCAGCUCAAAACCCCUCCAAACCAAUUUCCAGUUGUUUUUGCUGUGGCUGGUGAUCUUGGUCAGACUGGCUGGACUAAAUCAACAUUGGCUCACAUUGACCAAUCUCAAUAUGAUGUCUACCUGCUUCCAGGAGACCUUUCAUAUGCUGAUUGUAUGCAGCAUCUGUGGGACAGUUUUGGUGAACUAGUGGAGCCGCUUGCUAGUACAAGGCCAUGGAUGGUGACAGAGGGUAACCAUGAAGAAGAGAACAUACUCUUGUUAACGGACAAGUUUGUGUCCUAUAAUUCCAGAUGGAAAAUGCCAUUUGAGGAAAGUGGAUCAACUUCAAAUCUCUAUUAUUCUUUUGAGGUUGCUGGUGUCCACGUUAUCAUGCUUGGCUCCUAUGAAGAUUAUGAUGUGUACUCUGAACAAUAUAGAUGGCUAAAGGAAGAUCUGUCAAAGGUUGAUAGGGAAAGGACACCUUGGUUGCUUGUGUCAUUUCAUAUACCUUGGUAUAAUAGUAACAAGGCCCAUCAAGGUGCAGGGGAUGAUAUGAUGGCAGCUAUUGAGCCGUUGCUUUAUGCCGCUAGUGUUGAUUUAGUUAUUGCUGGUCAUGUUCACGCUUACGAACGUUCGAAACGUGUGUAUAAUGGAAGAUUGGAUCCCUGUGGUGCCGUCCAUAUAACUAUAGGUGAUGGAGGAAACAGGGAAGGCUUAGCUCGGAAGUAUAUAAACCCACAGCCAAAGUGGUCAGAAUUCCGUGAAGCCAGUUUUGGUCACGGUGAGCUGAAGUUUGUAAACUCCACUCAUGCCCUCUGGAGUUGGCACAGGAACGAUGAUGACAAUUCAGUAAAAGUUGAUGAUAUCUGGAUAAACUCUUUGGUCAGCUCGGGAUGCGUUGAUCAGAAGACACGUGAACUCAGAAGUACACUUAUGAUACCCUAAAAGUUGUAUCUGCAACUGUUACUCCGUAACCGUGUGGAUCAGCAUAAGUUCUGUAAAAAUAUGGAUGAUGAAACAAUACAUCAGUUUACAAUGGAUCACUAGCGGUAGAAUGGGUAAAGUCAGGACCUGCAUUCAGAUUGUUGAUAUGAUUCUAGAUCCUCGCAAAGAGUAAAGCAAUGAUGAUUACUGGGAUGUCCGAAGGUCAAAUUAACAAAGUGCUGAAGAGUAAAUGGGACAUGAUGGAAUGUAAAUUAGCAAUCUAAGAAUAGAGUCGCAUUAUGGAUUAUUUCGAAAUUCAUUACAUUUAAACCAUCGUAGCAAGUUUUACAAAGAUCUGUAGAGAAACCGAGUUCUGAUAACAGAUAUCUGUAUCUGGUGAA